GUAAUGGCAGGUCAGCAUACUGCCGUGAAUACGUUCCCGGGCCUUGUACACACCGCCCGUCCACACCAUGAGAGUUGGGAAUACCCGAAGCCUGUGAGCUAACUGUAAAGAGGCAGCAGUCGAAGGUAGAAUCAAUGAUUGGGGUGAAGUCGUAACAAGGUAAC
rnacentral:rRNA from 1 species